UACGAAGGGGGCGAGCGUUGUUCGGAUUUACUGGGCGUAAAGGGCGCGCAGGCGGCUCAUUUUGUCAGGCGUGAAAGCCCCGGGCUUAACCUGGGAGGUGCGUUUGAUACGGAUGGGCUGGAGUUCGGGAGAGGAGAGCGGAAUUCCCAGUGUAGAGGUGAAAUUCGUAGAUAUUGGGAAGAACACCGGUGGCGAAGGCGGCUCUCUGGACCGAGACUGACGCUGAGGCGCGAAAGCGUGGGGAGCAAACAGG
rnacentral:rRNA from 1 species